UUAUUGCCCCGUUUUAGAUUUUUAAAUAAAAUAAAAAUAAUCACAUAGAUAAGGAUAAAUAUAAUUUAAAAAAAGAUAAAUAAAAGGUAAUCCAAACCCUAUAUCUUAAAACAAAAGGGGUGGAGGCGGCCGCAAGAGACGUAGAAGAUUGAGAUCCCUUCCAGACCUCAACAAACUCGACUCUUUCUCUCUUUCAAUUCAUGUUCCACUUUCAAGAUUUGUUCAAUUAAGGCACCCACCUGCAACUUCAAGCGUUAGCCUUCACUUCCUGGACAGCCAAAGCAUGGGUAUUUUGAAUGGGAGAAGAUUUGAGUCGAACAAGUCUAGAGUUUAGAGAAGAAGUUUGAUAUUAUUCUCAAACAUUUUGUACAUGUAAAGGAUAAAUUUUAUAUCUAUGGUCUUAUGUAUGUUAUUUUACUUUCAACAUGAUAAACUCAUGUAAUUUACUUUUUGGUCUUAUGUAUGUUAUUUUACUUUCAACAUGAUAAACUCAUGUAAUUUACUUUUUAUGAUGAAUGAUGUCAUUUCUAAA